GAAGGGGGCUAGCGUUGCUCGGAAUCACUGGGCGUAAAGGGCGCGUAGGCGGCCGAUUAAGUCGGGGGUGAAAGCCUGUGGCUCAACCACAGAAUUGCCUUCGAUACUGGUUGGCUUGAGACCGGAAGAGGACAGCGGAACUGCGAGUGUAGAGGUGAAAUUCGUAGAUAUUCGCAAGAACACCAGUGGCGAAGGCGGCUGUCUGGUCCGGUUCUGACGCUGAGGCGCGAAAGCGUGGGGGAGCAAACAGGAUUAGAUACCCUGGUAGUCCACGCCGUAAACGAUGAAUGCCAGCCGUUGGCCUGCUUGCAGGUCAGUGGCGCCGCUAACGCAUUAAGCAUUCCGCCUGGGGAGUACGGUCGCAAGAUUA
rnacentral:rRNA from 1 species